rnacentral:rRNA from 1 species
UACGUAGGGCGCAAGCGUUGUCCGGAAUUAUUGGGCGUAAAGAGCUCGUAGGCGGUUUGUCGCGUCUGCUGUGAAAACCCGCGGCUCAACCGUGUGGUCUGCAGUCGAUACGGGCAGGCUAGAGUUCGGUAGGGGAGACUGGAAUUCCUGGUGUAGCGGUGAAAUGCGCAGAUAUCAGGAGGAACACCGGUGGCGAAGGCGGGUCUCUGGGCCGAUACUGACGCUGAGGAGCGAAAGCGUGGGGAGCGAACAGG